rnacentral:tRNA from 1 species
CGUAGUUUAAAGGUAGAACGGCUUAGUUCGUCAUUUCAAAUUCUCGUCGCGCGAUUCUCUUUCCAUAUCAUUCCCUUUCACGCGAAUGCAGAUGGGACUACAUCAGGAUCUAUUGGUUGCAGGUUCGAGUCCUGCCGCUGGCCUCCA